rnacentral:lncRNA from 1 species
AACUCCUUUUGCCCCCACCACGCAGCUCUCCAUGGAAACCCAUCACUUUCCACCCCGGCCCUUGUCAGCAGAGGAACGAGUAAAUGAGGAGCUGAGCAAAAAGCUUUAGCUGCACAUCUAGCAUCAGCAUGAACUGCAAAAGCGACAGGAGCUACAGAAUACCUACAGAACGUACAACCUUCUCUUGGAUUUUGUUGUCAAGCUUACAUUAACUAAAUGAAAUUACACAAGAAAUGAAUUCUUCAUUGCAUGAAGAAGGUCUGAAAAUUGAAAAUAAUUUGCCAACUUUUCCAAGCUCUCAUGCAUACAUUUUGG